rnacentral:misc_RNA from 1 species
GGAAGGAUCAUUACCAAUGACUUUAUGUCAAACGAAUAGGGCUCAAUAUGCCUGAUUGAUGCGAUCAAGCGCACCUGCGCAGUAUCGCGGCAUUGCGGGCUAACAGAGCUCCGAGUUAUGUUUGCAGUAGGUCAAGCAGUUGUGAGCUGCUUUGACGUGACUUGCUUCAGCUUUCUCGGAGUUCUUGUCGACAAAUGGGUUAAUUACGUUUGGUAUCUUGUUAGUGCGCCUGGCUGCCCUUAAACCCUGCAGUCUGAUUAGGGCCACUGACAGACCACCAGCCAGGCUUGAUUGCGGCUGGUGGCAGAUUUAAAGACAGAGUUGUAGAGCUGCUGCAAGGCAGUUCUGGAGAUCAUUGGCUUGAGUGCAGCCUCACUCUUGCUAAGUGCUGCUACGCAAUCUGAUCUCUCACACCGGUGCUGAUUACGUGCCCAACUCUGCGCCAAACUUCCCUUUUAACUUCGCAAAUUUCUCUCCAGGAAACUGGAUAAAAUUACUCAUUCUAAGCGGUGGAUCACUAGGUUCGGGCGUCGAUGAAGAACGCAGCCAACUGCGUGAAGUAAUGUGAAUUGCAGACACAUUGAACAUCGACAUUUUGAACGCAUAUUGCGGAAGUGGGUUUUUCCCACUUCCACAUCUGUCUGAGGGUGACAGAACUGACAGCCAUUGUCUUCGCUCAUCAGUUUAGCGCGACUUCGCUACUGGUAGGCAGUAUGCUGCUCUCAGCGAUCAUCUGAGACGUGUGCUAGACAGACUUGAACUGCUACAGUCUUUGACUUGUACCAGUUUUGAGACCUGAACGAUCGGUGACACGCAGAGUUUCUCUGUACCGAUCAUCCUGUUGUCGUACAACAAGCACGCUGUUGUGUGGUUUGUAGUUAGAUUACAGCUAGCAAGCCAUCAACAUGAUUGGUGCUGGUAUGUGUGACUUUUUCUUCACCUCAGAUCAGGUGUGAAUACCCGCUGAAUUUAAGCAUAUUACUAAGCGGAGGAAAAGAAACUAACAAGGAUUCCCCCAGUAAUGGCGAAUGAACGGGGAUGAGCCCAGCACCGAAUCCCACGGUGUCUCACCGUUGGGAAAUGUGGUGUUUAGGCAAGCCUAUCUGGAACAUAGUGGCAGUCCAAAUCCCCUUGAGGGGGGUCAUCGCCCAUAGCGGGUGCAAGGCCCAUACGACGCCCUUUGUUUCAGUUUGAGCUGCCUUGGAGUCGGGUUGUUUGAAAGUGCAGCCCAAAGUUGGUGGUAAACCCCAUCUAAGGCUAAAUAUGAGCUCGAGACCGAUAGCAAACAAGUACCGUGAGGGAAAGUUGCAAAGAACUUUGAAGAGAGAGUUCAAAAGGGCGUGAAACCGCUUAGAAGCAAACUGGUGGAGCUGACAUUAAUCCUGCUGAAUUCAGCUUGUCCGAAGGUGGACUGCGGGUGUUUAAUCGCAAGAGAAACACAUCGUAUGUUCCGUUUAGGAUGAGUGCACUUUCAGUAGGCUUGCGUCACGACCAAUGAUAUCGCCGGCGAAGGCCGACUGAUUGCCGACUGCGAGUUUACGCUUGCAGAGCCCCAUCAGUUGAGUCAGUCCGGGUUGAAGUCAUUGGGAACCAAACGCACUCGCUUGUCGCAAACUGCCGCAAAUGGGGUCGCUUGAAAUUCUGUAUUGUGCUUGCACAAUGCGGUAACCCUCGAAUCUAUUGCGUGGUUGCUUUGCGUAAGUGCUUAUGGUCUGUGGCGUCCGCGUCAGCCUCCCACCAGACCCGUCUUGAAACACGGACCAAGGAGUCUAACGUGUACGCAAGUCAUGGGGUUGUAAACCCACAGGCGUAAUGAAAGUAAAGGUCAAUUCAGUUGACCGAGGUGAGAUCCCUUCACUGGGCGCAUCACUGUCCCAUCGCAUCUGCUUGUCAGAGCGGUGGAGAAAAAGCGUACGCGUUGGGACCCGAAAGAUGGUGAACUAUGCCUGAGCAGGAUAAAGUCAUCGGAAACGGUGAUGGAGGUCCGUAGCGGUUCUGACGUGCAAAUCGAUCGUCAGACUUGGGUAUAGGGGCGAAAGACUAAUCGAACCAUCUAGUAGCUGGUUCCCUC